UACGUAGGGGGCGAGCGUUGUCCGGAGUUACUGGGCGUAAAGGGCAUGCAGGCGGUCAGGCGCGUGUGGUGUGACAGCGGGUGGCUCAACUACCCGAGCAUACGACAAACGACCUGACUUGAGGACUCGAGAGGGACACGGAAUUCCGGGUGGAGUGGUGAAAUGCGUAGAGAUCCGGAGGAACACCGCAGGCGAAGGCAGUGUCCUGGCGAGUGACUGACGCUCGUGUGCGAAAGCCAGGGGAG
rnacentral:rRNA from 1 species